rnacentral:rRNA from 1 species
GACGAACGCUGGCGGCGUGCCUAAUACAUGCAAGUAGAACGCUGAAGCGAGGAGCUUGCUCUUCUUGGAUGAGUUGCGAACGGGUGAGUAACGCGUAGGUAACCUGCCUUGUAGCGGGGGAUAACUAUUGGAAACGAUAGCUAAUACCGCAUAACAAUGGAUGACACAUGUCAUUUAUUUGAAAGGGGCAAUUGCUCCACUACAAGAUGGACCUGCGUUGUAUUAGCUAGUAGGUGAGGUAAUGGCUCACCUAGGCGACGAUACAUAGCCGACCUGAGAGGGUGAUCGGCCACACUGGGACUGAGACACGGCCCGGACUCCUACGGGAGGCAGCAGUAGGGAAUCUUCGGCAAUGGGGGCAACCCUGACCGAGCAACGCCGCGUGAGUGAAGAAGGUUUUCGGAUCGUAAAGCUCGGUUGUAAGUCAAGAACGGGUGUGAGAGUGGAAAGUUCACACUGUGACGGUAGCUUACCAGAAAGGGACGGCUAACUACGUG